GGUUGGAUUUUAUCUAAUUGGAUGAACAUAAAGCAGGAGAGAAAAUGUGGGAGGGAGGACCACAAUUUAAAAUAUGCAACCCAGAAACAUUUAUGAAAAACUGAGUGCUUCAAUCUCAAUAUGGCAAUGGGAAGUGGAGAUCUUCAGAACAUUCUGGUGUCCUUCAACACUUGUAGGGAUCAAAUCUACCACCAAGGAAAAGGAACAGGCAAUGCUUAACUUUUCCACAGGCUGCCAAGCUGGAGGGCUUUUUCUAUGGCAGCUGAAGCAGAUGGAGCCUCCAAGGUCGGAUCCUCCCUUCCAAGGUAGAAACCGCCCUGAAGAACUUCAUGCCACCAGCUUUGCCUUUGAAGACACCCAGAAAUUAAAAGGUCAGAUAGUGACCAAGAGAACGCUGCCAAGAUAUUCCUUAAAAUGGACCCUAUGGAAAGUAAAAUUGCAGGGAUUGAUCUUUCUGGGGGUUGGUCAAGAUACAAGUCUUCCACAUCUAGGCUGCCAUUUCUAA
rnacentral:lncRNA from 7 species